rnacentral:misc_RNA from 1 species
AAACCCAAUGCCCAUACAGCAAAAUUAGAUAAGAGGAGGAGAGGAAAAGGGAAAAAAAAGGGUACGCAAAACAUACUGCAACACAGAAUAGGGAAGAAGAAGAAGAAGAAGAAGAAGAAGAAGAAGAAGAAGAAGAAGAAUGCCCAUACAGCAACAUUAGAGAAGGAGGAGGAGAGGAAAAGGGGAAAAAAAAGGUUUUCUAGGUCGCAGCAGCAGCAAGGAAUCAGGGAAGAAGAAGAAGAAGAAAAAGAAGAAGAUGAAAGAGAGAGAGAGAGAGAGAGAGAGAGAGAGAGAGAGAGAGAGAGAGAGAGAGAUAUACCUGAAAGUGCUGCUGAGUGCCACAGUUGAGAUUUGAGGGUGCCGAUCUUCCUUUCUUUUGAGGACUGAGGUAGGUGGCUUAGGGAAUUUUCUUUUAUUUGGCUUUAAAUAAUUAAAAAAAAAAAAUUACCGUUGCAUUACAGGGGUGUCGCAUCAGGGGG